rnacentral:rRNA from 1 species
GACGAACGCUGGCGGCGUGCCUAAUACAUGCAAGUAGAACGCUGAAGGAGGAGCUUGCUUCUCUGGAUGAGUUGCGAACGGGUGAGUAACGCGUAGGUAACCUGCCUGGUAGCGGGGGAUAACUAUUGGAAACGAUAGCUAAUACCGCAUAAUAGUAGAUGUUGCAUGACAUUUGCUUAAAAGGUGCAAUUGCAUCACUACCAGAUGGACCUGCGUUGUAUUAGCUAGUUGGUGGGGUAACGGCUCACCAAGGCGACGAUACAUAGCCGACCUGAGAGGGUGAUCGGCCACACUGGGACUGAGACACGGCCCAGACUCCUACGGGAGGCAGCAGUAGGGAAUCUUCGGCAAUGGACGGAAGUCUGACCGAGCAAGGCCGCGUGAGUGAAGAAGGUUUUCGGAUCGUAAAGCUCUGUUGUAAGAGAAGAACGAGUGUGAGAGUGGAAAGUUCACACUGUGACGGUAUCUUACCAGAAAGGGACGGCUAACUACGUG